GACGAACGCUGGCGGCGUGCUUAACACAUGCAAGUCGAGCGGUAAGGCUCCUUCGGGAGUACACGAGCGGCGAACGGGUGAGUAACACGUGAGUAAUCUGCCCUUCACUUCGGGAUAACCACCGGAAACGGUGGCUAAUACCGAAUACGACCAGUCUUCGCAUGAGGUGCUGGUGGAAAGUCUUUUCGGUGAAGGAUGUGCUCGCGGCCUAUCAGCUUGUUGGUGGGGUAAUGGCCUACCAAGGUUUCGACGGGUAGCCGGCCUGAGAGGGUGACCGGCCACACUGGGACUGAGACACGGCCCAGACUCCUACGGGAGGCAGCAGUGGGGAAUAUUGGACAAUGGGCGAAAGCCUGAUCCAGCAACGCCGCGUGAGGGAUGACGGCCUUCGGGUUGUAAACCUCUUUCAGUACCGACGAAGCGCCCUGUCGGGUGGUGACGGUAGGUACAGAAGAAGGACCGGCCAACUACGUG
rnacentral:rRNA from 1 species